rnacentral:rRNA from 1 species
UUUUUAAGUUAGUUCUAUCACUUGAGGCUGUGAUCUCAUCAGAUCUCACAAGCUAAGUAGAGUCAGGGCAGGUCAGUAUUUGAAUGGAAAACUUCCAAGGAGAACUCAUAUUUCUGCAGAAC